GCCUGAGUGGUGGAACUGGCAUACACGCGGCACUCAAAAUGCCGUGCCUCCGGGCUUGUGGGUUCGAAUCCCACCUCAGGUA
rnacentral:tRNA from 1 species